rnacentral:rRNA from 1 species
AGAGUUUGAUUCUGGCUCAGGAUGAACGCUAGCUACAGGCUUAACACAUGCAAGUCGAGGGGUAGCAGGGUAGCAAUACCGCUGACGACCGGCGCACGGGUGAGUAACACGUAUCCAACCUCCCAUAACUCAGGGAUAGCCUUUCGAAAGAAAGAUUAAUACCUGAUAGUACUUUUUCAAGGCAUCUUGAGAAAGUUAAAGAUUUAUUGGUUAUGGAUGGGGAUGCGUUCCAUUAGAUAGUUGGUGAGGUAACGGCUCACCAAGUCUUCGAUGGAUAGGGGUUCUGAGAGGAAGGUCCCCCACAUUGGUACUGAGACACGGACCAAACUCCUACGGGAGGCAGCAGUGAGGAAUAUUGGUCAAUGGGCGAGAGCCUGAACCAGCCAAGUAGCGUGAAGGAAUGAAGGUCCUAUGGAUUGUAAACUUCUUUUAUAGUAGAAUAAAGUGAUCCACGUGUGGACUUUUGUAUGUAUACUAUGAAUAAGGAUCGGCUAACUCCGUGCCAGCCGCCGC